CCAAGACUGCGAUCAGUAGCCGGACUGAGAGGUUGAACGGCCACAUUGGGACUGAGAUACGGCCCAGACUCCUACGGGAGGCAGCAGUGGGGAAUAUUGGGCAAUGGGCGCAAGCCUGACCCAGCAACGCCGCGUGAAGGAAGAAGGCUUUCGGGUUGUAAACUUCUUUUAUGAGGGACGAAGAAUGUGACGGUACCUCAUGAAUAAGCCACGGCUAACUACGUGCCAGCAGCCGCGGUAAUACGUAGGUGGCGAGCGUUAUCCGGAUUUACUGGGUGUAAAGGGCGCGUAGGCGGGGAAGCAAGUCAGAUGUGAAAUCCAUGGGCUCAACCCAUGAACUGCAUUUGAAACUGUUUCUCUUGAGUGCCGGAGAGGUAGACGGAAUUCCUAGUGUAGCGGUGAAAUGCGUAGAUAUUAGGAGGAACACCAGUGGCGAAGGCGGUCUAACUGGACGGUAACUGACGCUGAGGCGCGAAAGCGUGGGGAGCAAACAGGAUUAGAUACCCCUGGUAGUCCACGCUGUUAAACGAUGAAUACUAGGUGUGGGGGGACUGACCCCUUCCGUGCCGCAGUUAACACAAUAAGUAUUCCACCUGGGGAGUACGACCGCAAGGUUGAAACUCAAAGGAAUUUGACGGGGGCCCGCACAAGCAGUGGAUUAUGUGGUUUAAUUCGAAGCAACGCGAAGAACCUUACCAGGGCUUGACAUCCAACUAACGAAGUAGAGAUACAUUAGGUGCCCUUCGGGGAAAGUUGAGACAGGUGGUGCAUGGUUGUCGUCAGCUCGUGUCGUGAGAUGUUGGGUUAAGUCCCGCAACGAGCGCAACCCUUGUUGCUAGUUGCUACGCAAGAGCACUCUAGCGAGACUGCCGUUGACAAAACGGAGGAAGGUGGGGACGACGUCAAAUCAUCAUGCCCCUUAUGUCCUGGGCUACACACGUAAUACAAUGGCGUUUAACAGAGGGAGGCAAAACCGCGAGGUGGAGCAAAUCCCCAAAAAACGUCUCAGUUCGGAUUGCAGGCUGCAACUCGCCUGCAUGAAGUCGGAAUUGCUAGUAAUCGCGGAUCAGCAUGCCGCGGUGAAUACGUUCCCGGGCCUUGUACACACCGCCCGUCACACCAUGAGAGUCGGGAACACCCGAAGUCCGUAGCUUAACAGCAAUGAGAGCGCGGCCGAAGGUGGUUCGAUAAUUGGG
rnacentral:rRNA from 1 species